UGCGUGCGUGUGUCUCUUUGUGUGUCAAAAAUACUUUUCACUUUCUAUAUUAUUUACCUUUAUUGUACCAGUUGAUCAGUUUACAUAAGGCCUGGAACGGGAUGUUCAAAAUUGCCUCAUUGGCCAGAGAGAGGGCGGGACUUCCAGUAACACGGAACUACCGAUGGUGACGUUGUAUCCGGUGCCGCAGACACACUCAUGGGAAGGUCAGAACAGGAAACGGCGUUGCGUUAGACCACUAUAAAGCUUAAACACAGGAUCCUCUCUCAGCCUGCGCUGUGGUGCAGGCGGCCAAUUUCGUCCCUGGCAGUUGAACCCGUUCCACCAAUGUGGAUCUCCCAGAUGAUUGCCUCAUCCAAUCAAAAGUUUGUCGAGGAUCACAUGACUGAAUGCUUGCGCUCUGGGCUGGUUUGACGUUUCCUCCCAAGGCUUUGCCCCAUAGUUGUGUCGCCAACUUGCAAAGUCGACCUAGGAACCAUGGAAUGGUGAUAACUUGAGAGGAGGUGUUAGGCUGCCAUGAAGGGACUGUUUACCCCGCCGUGCCUCCUCCUCUUCCUCCUCCUCCUCCUCCUCCCGGUCUCCUCUGCCACCUCCUUCUGGGCCAAGGAGAAGCCCAACAUCGUCCUCAUGAUGGUGGACGACCUGGGCAUCGGAGACCUGGGUUGCUACGGCAACAACACCAUUAGGUAACGCACGCAUUAGAGGUCGUGACAACUUUUAAAAUAAUAAUCAUAUAUAUGUGAGUGAGGGAGUGAGGGAGGGAUGGAGUGAGUGAGUGAAUGAGUUAGUGAGUUAGUGAGUGUUUU
ensembl:lncRNA